rnacentral:rRNA from 1 species
AUUGAACGCUGGCGGCAGGCCUAACACAUGCAAGUCGAGCGGAUGAAGAGAGCUUGCUCUCUGAUUUAGCGGCGGACGGGUGAGUAAUGCCUAGGAAUCUGCCUGGUAGUGGGGGACAACGUUUCGAAAGGAACGCUAAUACCGCAUACGUCCUACGGGAGAAAGUGGGGGAUCUUCGGACCUCACGCUAUCAGAUGAGCCUAGGUACGAUUAGCUAGUUGGUGAGGUAAAGGCUCACCAAGGCGACGAUCGUUAACUGGUCUGAGAGGAUGAUCAGUCACACUGGAACUGAGACACGGUCCAGACUCCUACGGGAGGCAGCAGUGGGGAAUAUUGGACAAUGGGCGAAAGCCUGAUCCAGCCAUGCCGCGUGUGUGAAGAAGGUCUUCGGAUUGUAAAGCACUUUAAGUUGGGAGGAAGGGCAGUAAGUUAAUACCUUGCUGUUUUGACGUUACCGACAGAAUAAGCACCGGCUAACUUCGUGCCAGCCGCCGCUGUAAGAC